rnacentral:rRNA from 1 species
UACGAAGGGGGCUAGCGUUGCUCGGAAUUACUGGGCGUAAAGGGAGCGUAGGCGGACAUUUAAGUCAGAGGUGAAAUCCCGGAGCUUAACUUCGGAACUGCCUUUGAUACUGGGUGUCUUGAGUGUGAGAGAGGUAUGUGGAACUCCGAGUGUAGAGGUGAAAUUCGUAGAUAUUCGGAAGAACACCAGUGGCGAAGGCGACAUACUGGCUCAUUACUGACGCUGAGGCGCGAAAGCAUGGGGAGCGAACAGG